ensembl:snoRNA
UCUCCCUCAGCUCUGGCAAUCACACAGGUUCAGUGUGUGCUUGGUGGAUUUUCAAGCAAGACAGGAGAGAGUGUGGCACUCCUAAUGCAUAGCUGACCUGCCCCAAAGCGGUGCUCUGUUCCUAAGGAGUGCAUGCAUC